rnacentral:lncRNA from 1 species
AGUCAAACGAGGAAAGGCUUACGGUGGAUACCUAGCACCCAGAGACGAGAAGGGCGUAGUAAGCGACGAAAGCUCGGGAGUGAAAUAGCAUAGAUCCGGAGAUCCCGAAUAGUAACCUUCAACUGCUGCUGAAUCCAUGGCAGCAAGAGACAACUGGCGAACUGAACAUUAGUAGCCAGAGAAAAGAAAGCAAAAGCGAUUCCCGUAGUAGCGAGCGAAAUGGAGCACCUAAACGUGAAACGGGGUUGGGAGAGCAAUACAGCGUCGUGCUGCUAGGCGAAGUAGAAGCUGCACCCUAGAUGCGAAAGUCCAUACGAAGCACACUAGCUUACGCUCUGACCGAGUAGCAGGGGCACGUGAACCGUGUGAUCACAGGAACUUGCAAGGCUAAUACUCCGGUGACCGAUAGCGAAGUACGGAGGGAAGGUGAAAAGAACCCCAUCGGGAGUGAAAUAGAAAUAAACCGUAAGCUCCAAGCAUGGAGGACCCGGGCUCUGACGCGUGCUGUUGAAGAAUACCGGCGACCAUAGCAUGGCUUGGUUAAGGAACCCACCGGAGCGUAGCGAAAGCGAUCUCAUAGGGCAAUUGUCACUGCUUAUGGACCGAACUGGGUGAUCUAUCCAUGACCAGAUGAACUUGGGAAACUAGUGAGGUCCGAACCGACUGAUUUGAAGAUCAGCGGAUGAGUUGUGGUUAGGGUGAAAUGCCACCGAACCCAGAGCUAGCUGUUCCCGAAAUGCGUUGAGGCCAGCAGUUGACUGGACACUAGGGGUAAGCACUGUUCGGUGCGGGCGCGAGAGCGGUACCAAUCGAGGCAAACCUGAAUACUAGAUAUGACUCAAAUACAGGGCAAGGUCGCCAUGAACGAUGGGGAUAAGC